rnacentral:rRNA from 1 species
GCAAGGUUGGAACUCAAAGGAAUUGACGGGGGCUAUACUAGUGGUGGAGCAUGUGGUUUAAUGCGAUAAUCCGCGCAAAACCUUACCAAUUCUUGACAUAAAUACUAAAAGUUUAAUUUUAUAGCUUUGGAUAAGUAAAUUAAAAUUAUAGUUUUUACAGGUGUUGCACGACUGUCGUCAGCUCGUGUCGUGAGAUGUUUGGUUAAUUCCCUUAACGGGCGUAACUCUUAUCUUUAAUUCAUUUACUAUUUUUUAAAAUUAUCUAAAUUUUUUUAAAGCUUUAAAGAUACUGCCAGCGAUAAGCUGAAGGAAGGUAAGAACUAAGUCAAGUCAAUGUGACCCUUAUGAAUUGGGCUACACACGUGCUACAAUGAAAAUUACAAUAAGUUGCAACAAAAUUUAAUUUUAGCUAAUCUACAAAAAUUUUCCCAGUUCGGAUUGUAGGCUGAAACUCGCUUACAUGAAGUUGGAAUCACUAGUAAUCGCAAAUCAGAACGUUGCGGUGAAUAUGUCAAUUAGCCUUGUA